rnacentral:rRNA from 1 species
CCGUAGCCCAAGAGAUCGGGAUAACACCUGGAAACAGAUGCUAAUACCGGAUAACAACAGAUGAUGCCUAUCAACUGUUUAAAAGAUGGUUCUGCUAUCACUCUUGGAUGGACCUGCGGUGCAUUAGCUAGUUGGUAGGGUAACGGCCUACCAAGGCGAUGAUGCAUAGCCGAGUUGAUAGACUGAUCGGCCACAUUGGGACUGAGACACGGCCCAAACUCCUACGGGAGGCAGCAGCA